GGGUAGAGGAGCUGUUAUUAACAGUACCUGUUUUUAGCCGGCAGGCAGUGAGAAACAGGGAAAGGAAUCGCAGCCGAAGAAAAUUAUCUGGCAAGCUUAAUUUUCUGGUUGUACAUAAAAUAUAUGUGCAAUUGUCACACGAGUUAAUCAUGUGGAGGGCUACAGGG
rnacentral:ncRNA from 1 species